CAAUAGCGUAUAUUUAAGUUGUUGCAGUUAAAAAGCUCGUAGUCGGAUUUUGGCUGAGAACGAUCGGUCCGCCGUUAGGUGUGCACUGAUUGGUCUCAGCUUCCUGGUGAGGAGGUGUGCUUCACGGCCACUUAGUCACCGUGGUUACUUUGAAAAAAUUAGAGUGUUCAAAGCGGGCUUACGCUUGAAUAUAUUAGCAUGGAAUAACACCAUAGGACUCCUGUCCUAUUUCGUUGGUCUCGGGACGGGAGUAAUGAUUAAGAGGAACAGUUGGGGGCAUUCGUAUUUCAUUGCCAGAGGUGAAAUUCUUGGAUUUAUGAAAGACGAACUUCUGCGAAAGCAUUUGCCAAGGAUGUUUUCAUUGA
rnacentral:rRNA from 1 species